UACACACCGCCCGUCACGCCAUGGAAGUUGGGAGUGCCCGAAGUCGGUGGGCCAACUCGUAAGAGGGGCAGCCGCCGAAGGCGAGCCCGAUGACUGGGGGCG
rnacentral:rRNA from 1 species